UAGAGUGCUCCAGGCAGGCCUAUGCUCGAAUACAUUAGCAUGGAAUAAUAGAAUAGGACGUGCGGUUCUAUUUUGUUGGUUUCUAGGACCGCCGUAAUGAUUAAUAGGGACAUCGGGGGCAUCAGUAUUCAAUUGUCGGAGGUGAAAUUCUUGGAUUUAUUGAAGACUAACUACUGCGAAAGCAUUUGUCAAGGAUGUUUUCAUUAAUCAGGAACGAAAGUUAGGGGAUCGAAGACGAUCAGAUACCGUCGUAGUCUUAACCAUAAACUAUGCCGACUAGGGGUCGGAUGAUGUUAAUUUUUUAAUGACUCAUUCGGCGCCUUACGGGAAAC
rnacentral:rRNA from 2 species